GUCCACGCCCUAAACGAUGUCAACUAGGUGUUGGGGAAGGAGACUUCUUUAGUACCGCAGCUAACGCGCUAAGUUGACCGCCUGGUGAGUACGGUCGCAAGAUUAAAACUCAAAGGAAUUGACGGGGACCCUCACAAGCGGUGGAUUAUGUGGAUUAAUUCGAUGCAACGCGAAAACCUUACCUACCCUUGACAUGUCCGGAAGUUGCCAGAGAUGGCUUCGUGCCCGAAAGGGAACCGGAACACAGGUGCUGCAUGGCUGUCGU
rnacentral:rRNA from 1 species